rnacentral:tRNA from 1 species
GUUGUAGCGUAGUUGGUUAACGCGCCAGAUUGUGGCUCUGGAGAUCGUGGGUUCGAGUCCCAUCUC